UACGAAGGGGGCUAGCGUUGCUCGGAAUGACUGGGCGUAAAGGGCGCGCAGGCGGACUGCACAGUCAGGCGUGAAAUUCCUGGGCUUAACCUGGGGACUGCGUCUGAGACGUGUGAUCUAGAGUGAGGAAGAGGGUCGUGGAAUUUCGCGUGUAGAGGUGAAAUUCGUAGAUAUUGGAAAGAACACCGGUGGCGAAGGCGGCGACCUGGUCCUUGACUGACGCUGAGGCGCGAAAGCGUGGGGAGCAAACAGG
rnacentral:rRNA from 1 species